rnacentral:rRNA from 1 species
UACGUAGGGGGCAAGCGUUGUCCGGAUUUAUUGGGCGUAAAGAGCGUGUAGGCGGUUUGGUAGGUCCGCUGUGAAAACUCGAGGCUCAACCUCGAGACGCCGGUGGAAACCAUCAGGCUAGAGUCCGGAAGAGGAGAGUGGAAUUCCUGGUGUAGCGGUGAAAUGCGCAGAUAUCAGGAGGAACACCGGUGGCGAAGGCGGGUCUCUGGGCCGUAACUGACGCUGAGGAGCGAAAGCGUGGGGAGCGAACAGG